CCUACGGGGGGCAGCAGUGAGGAAUAUUGGUCAAUGGACGCAAGUCUGAACCAGCCAUGCCGCGUGCAGGAAGACGGCUCUAUGAGUUGUAAACUGCUUUUGUACGAGGGUAAACGCAGAUACGCGUAUCUGUCUGAAAGUAUCGUACGCAUAAGGAUCGGCUAACUCCGUGCCAGCAGCCGCGGUCAUACGGAGGAUUCACGCGUUAUCCGGAUUUAUUGGGUUUAAAGGGUGCGUAGGCGGUCGGAUAAGUUAGAGGUGAAAGCCCGAGGCUCAACUUCGGAAUUGCCUCUGAUACUGUUCGGCUAGAGAGUAGUUGCGGUAGGCGGAAUGUAUGGUGUAGCGGUGAAAUGCUUAGAGAUCAUACAGAACACCGAUUGCGAAGGCAGCUUACCAAGCUACUUCUGACGUUGAGGCACGAAAGCGUGGGGAGCAAACAGGAUUAGAUACCCCGAGUAGUC
rnacentral:rRNA from 1 species